UGCCCAAAGAUAGCCUAUCUGCCCAGAAAGGGACCAAGUCCACCUAAAAUCUAGCAUUGCAGCCCACUGACGGCAAGACUUCUGUAGGAUCUUAUUGUUCUGCGUGCACUGCAAAUGUGUCUAACAAUGCACUUGCUCUGCACUUUUUGGGGAUUGUUACUUUCCAAAGUACAUACUUGAAACAAGGCUUUUGGCAAUGUAUCAUU